rnacentral:rRNA from 1 species
AUUGAACGCUGGCGGCAGGCCUAACACAUGCAAGUCGCACGAGUGGCGGACUGGUGUGUAAUGUCUGGGAAACUGCCUGAUGGAGGGGGAUAACUAUUGGAAACGGUAGAUAAUACCGCAUACCCUCAGAUGUGCCCAGAUGGGAUUAGUUAGUUGGUGGGGUAACGGCUCAUCAAGGCGACGAUCCCUAGCUGGUCUGAGAGGGUGAGCAGCCACACUGGAACUGAGACACGGUCCAGACUCCUACGGGAGGCAGCAGUGGGAAAUAUUGCACAAUGGGCGCAAGCCUGAUGCAGCCAUGCCGCGUGUAUGAAGAAGGCCUUCGGGUUGUAAAGUACUUUCAGCGGGGAGGCGUUACCCGCAGAAGAAGCACCGGCUAACUCCGUGCCAGCAGCCGCGGUAAUAC